rnacentral:lncRNA from 1 species
UCGAAGCAUGCAACAGCCUCUUGAUAUAACAGCUCUUGGUCAGCUCCACUUCUCAGGUGCUGUGUCUAGUGAAAGGCAGCGUAUGGUGUAUUCUCUAUAGCUUAGGUGUUUCACCGCAGAGGAACUGGGAUGUGAGCAACAACCAGUUUUGAGCUGUAUAUUUUUGCGAGGUUACAUGAGUGUUGAUUAUUGUUUCGAGGAAACGAAGAAGCCAUGGAUUUUGGUCUCUCGGCAACGGCGGCCUAACUCUCGCUAGAGCCUGGGAAUGAACAAGGCCUUUUCUUCUUCUUCUGUUAAAUGGGAUGUUUUUGUGUCUCCUCCAAUGUUAUUAUUUCUUUUCAGUUCUUACACAAUUUGUAACAAUAUAGUGUGGUUUUGGAGUAUUCUGUCGGUUACAAUAUAUUGUGUCAGCAUUGUAGGAGUCGAAAAC